GGGUCAUGCUGUAGGCACGCAGCAGCUCUAAUGCUUAAGGUUGAGUUGUGGGUCAGAUAUGGAAAGACUGAAGUGGCUUGUACAUCAGGGACCAACCAAUGGCUUCUGGCCUCCAGAAAAGAGGUAAAGGCAGCCAGACUGAGUGAAAUCUGUGUCAAAAGACCUAAGUGGAUGCACACCGGCUUACUGCUACCUGUGAGAAGAAAACACCACGAGAUCAACAACAAUGUCAAAGAGGUGACAGAUGAAGACAUGAAGAAGCUGAAACUUCUGGACCCCAAGACAGCUGUUCUCACUAGCCUGGACUGCAGUGACACAGACACCGCAUCAGAUUCAGACAAAGAGAAUGAAGACCCAUUGGAGCCACUUGCAGCUCUGUAUGAUGCAAAUCUGAGAGGCCUCUCCUCAACUGAAUUACUAGAAAAAAGUGAGGCUAUCUUUUCCAGGCUUUGAAGGGAGAUAACACAGUUGUCCAUCCAGACCAUCCACAUCUUGGAGCAUCACCAGAUGGAGUGGUGAACUGUGGUUGCUGCGGUAGAGGAACUGUAGAGAUCAAGUGCCCAAAGAUUUUUGCUUAGACCAAUCAUUCUGUCUCAAAAAGAACCACAAGUACUACAAUCAAGUACAACUUCACAUGUUUGUAUUUGAGGUACAGUACUGCGACUUUGUGAUGUGGACACAGCAAGAUCUAAUCAUCACUCGUGUUGCCAGAGAUGAUCCAUUCCUUUCCACAGCCCUCCCUAUUGCUGAACAGUU